AAUAAAAUAAUAAUUUAAAUCGAUCAAACUAAUUGGAGGUAGCGUCGUCCUCAUUUCGACGCAACGCCGACUCAAAGUAAGUGAAAAAAAAGAGAGGCUCCUGCAGGAAUUGAAAUUGCGCCCUUCCUGUCUUCUCGCAGCCAUUGCAGCGUUCGUGGAGCUUGAGGCGAAUCAACUUGGGGAGCUCGAUUUCAGCCAUUUCAGCGGGUGUUGUGAGGUAAGGAUCGAAACCCUUUUUUGUUUUGUUGAUUAUUUUGCAUUGACAAACAAUGGCUAGUGGCGUCCCCAAUGUUGAAGUCCAUGGUGAUUGAGCUUCUUGUGAAGGUGAUUGAGGUUCUUGGUGGUGGAGCUGAGUUUUGAGAGUGAGAUUACUAAUUUCCUAAAGUCUAAAAUUGAACUUGUUAUUUGAUUUUGAAAUGGAUUUGAGAUUGAAAAUAGUUGGUUGGUCAGUUCUGGAUAUACUUUUGUUUGUAAGGCUUAUGAAUGAUAUAUGUUUAGAAUGUGUUGUUUCCAUGCACCUAACCCCACAUAGUGAGAUUAGGGUUUACUGUUACUUUUGCUCCUAAUUAGGUGGAGGCAGAAAAAAAUUGAAUGGCUAUAUAUGGUGUAGCUUGGUAGAAAGAAUUGCAAACUUUGUUAUGUACUGCAAUGAAGCCAGAUAACAUAAAUUACAUUUUCAUGGAAACUAUUUUCAGGGUAGUGUUUAGGAACAUGCAUUGUUAAUUGAGUCCAUUAUCUCCACAUGCUGAAGAUGAAAAAAAAUUCAAUGUGACAUGAUUCUUCUAAAAUAAUUAACCUGACAGUAAUUAAGAAAGUUAAGACGCAGCUCACAACUGCAUUCACUCAUUUUCUACACAUCAACGCCCCACCAAGGAGUGUUAGAAAAAGGGAAAAGGUAGAAUCAAACAAAAGGAUUGGUUACUUUUGUUAUUGUAAGUAAUAGAAGCAUUUGAGAAGAGGGUGGUUGUACUUGAAGAGUAUAGUUUGAGCAUGAGCAUCACUGUAGUUUGCAAAUCUUUUAGCUUUUCUGUCUAUUUUCUUCUUUAUUUCCAUUUCUUUUUUUAACAAUGACGGCUAAAAGCUUAAACUCCUAAAACUUGUUGCCCUUAAUCACUGUGGAGUGUCUUUCAACACCCUUAAAGUAGUUCAUUUUAAUAACUACACAGAUAUUAGUGUAUUAUUAAUCUGCAUCAAGUUGUAAGCAUGAUCUUCUGAUGUGGGGCACCAGAUGUUCAACUUUCUUUUCACAUGAUGGAGUGAGUCUUGUUUAGGAAUUGAAAGUGAUCGCAUUGUGAAUCACUUUAUUUUUUAAAGAAGAGGAAUCACCUCAAUUUGAAGGAGAAAUGGAUCGUAGCUGGAUGUAUAACAUGCUUGAUUCUUCUAGGAGACUCACACAAGAAUUCAUCAAUGGAGUGAGAGACUUUGCAUCGAAAACAAUGGAUCAACCUUGUUUUAUUUUAGAUGGAGAGAUAAGGUGUCCGUGCAUCAAGUGCAAAUGUAUGAAAAUCCUCAAACCAGCGUAUGUGAGAGCUCACUUGUUAAAAUUUGGAUUUAUGCCAAAUUAUUACGUUUGGGUGAAUCACGGAGAAGAAGGAUCAAAUUUUCAAACUUAGGUUAUGUAUCCACUAAUGAAAAGUUCAAAUCAAAAUUGUCUCAAAAUAAAAUCAACAAAUCCUCAGCAAGAGGUGGAGCACUUCGCACUACAGGCAGCAAAUCCCACCUCGACAUUGCAUUGGAUUAGUAAAUUUUGUUUAAGACAUCAAAAAAUUUUCUUACUUUUGUGAAUUUUAUGUGAUCUUACCUAUAAUUGUACUAAUUAUAUACCUUAUGUCAGGAACAAAAACAUGGUCGUUCUGUGGAUCCAGAUGAGUUAUUUCUUGCCACUUAUAAGAAGAAGGAUGGUGCAUGGGUAGAUACACGUGCACAUCAAACCUAUGAAGCAUAUCAUCAACGUGUGGAAGAAAUGGAAUCAGAUAGUUCUACAGGAUCCACAACAUCAACAAGAAUUCAAUGCUGGAAAGAAGUUGUUGGAGGGAAGAGUCGAGGUCGAGUUUAUGACACUAAUGACAUGGGUGCCAACAUUCAACAUGGUGUCACAUCCCUCACUCGUCAACCUUCCUUAUUAUCCUGUACAAAGGAUGAACAUGCACGUCACAACGAAAGACUUCUGGAAGAGGUAAGACAUGCCAAUAUGGUGUUGGCUGAAACAAAUAGAAAGUAUACCAUGAUGCAAGAAGAAAUAAAGCUCAUCCAAUAACAAUUAGCCUUGGUAUUGGAAAAGCAUGCUGCACACACUUCCAUUGGUACGAGUCAAGUACAUCCUCAUUAUGACAAAGAAUUGGAUGAUCAACCCGUAACUAGAACAUGACUUCUCGGUCUUCAUUUAAUUAUGAUUAAUUGGACCCUGAUUUCUAACUUUAUGUCACUUAGACUUUGAACUCAAGUUGGAUUAUUAUAUUUAGUACUUUAGUAGUAUGAUGGUGAACAUUGUAUUAGAACUAAUGUAACCAC